CUGUGUUUGUGAUGUUCAUAGACCUCGGAUGACCACGAGCCACGGAAUACUCUUCACUCUUCAGUGAGGAGAGUUGAAGAAAACUCAUUUUUCAGCGAGUUUGGAAGAAGACCCACUUUUCAGUGAGAUCGGAAGAUUCUUUGCUCUUCAUCGAGGAGAGUCAAAGAAAAACUUAUUUUCAGCGAGUUUGGAUGAAAACUUGCUUUUCAGUGAGUUCAAAAGAAAACUCACUUUUUAGCGAGUUCAGAUAAAGAUCUGCUCUUUAGCAAGGUCAGAAGACUCACUCUUCAGUAAGGAGAAGAAAACUUGCUUUUUAGUGAGCUC
rnacentral:lncRNA from 1 species